rnacentral:rRNA from 1 species
ACGGAAGGCAGCAGUGGGGGAUAUUGCACAAUGGGGGAAACCCUGAUGCAGCGACGCCGCGUGAGUGAUGAAGUAUUUCGGUAUGUAAAGCUCUAUCAGCAGGGAAGAAAAUGACGGUACCUGACUAAGAAGCACCGGCUAAAUACGUGCCAGCAGCCGCGGUAAUACGUAUGGUGCAAGCGUUAUCCGGAUUUACUGGGUGUAAAGGGAGCGUAGACGGCAUAGCAAGCCAGAUGUGAAAGGUGGGGGCUCAACCCCCAAGCUGCAUUUGGAACUGUUAAGCUAGAGUAUCGGAGAGGUAAGUGGAAUUCCUAGUGUAGCGGUGAAAUGCGUAGAUAUUAGGAGGAACACCAGUGGCGAAGGCGGCUUACUGGACGAUAACUGACGUUGAGGCUCGAAAGCGUGGGGAGCAAACAGGAUUAGAUACCCUGGUA